UGGGAUGCCUUCCUCUAUCCCCCUCUCUACAGGUUGGAAAGGUCAGAGACAAAGCGUUUAUGUUAUCGCUCAGAUUUUUUUUAUGAGUGUAUUACAACACUGCUAACAUAUUAUGGUAAUUGAUAUUGAUGCUGCAAUAGCUAUUUGACUGUGUCCGAAUAUGCUCUGUGUGCAUGUGUUUCUGUGUGGGUGUGUUUGUGUGCGUGUGCCCUCAGGUUGCUGACUGUAUUCAGGACUCUCUGAAGAGUAACGGCGGUAUGCCACAUUCUGGCUGUGACAAACGGAAAACAGAUGAUGCUGUCAACAGGCACCAGGGUCUCCUGAGAGAGCUGCAGGAGCUGGCCCAGAAGGAGAGGGAAAAAGAGAGAGAGUAUGGGAGGGAGAACGAGAGAUAUGAGGAGAACCAGGCUGAGGGAGAGAGGGACAGAGAAGGGAGGAAGGAGGAGCAGAAUGAUGACAAGAAGGAGACUGAGAAAGAAGAACUGAGAGAGAAAGAGACGAAGGCAGAAGGGGUAGAGGAGGAGGAGAAGGUGGAGAUGAAGGACAGAACAAAUGAGGAGAUAAGGGAAGAGCCCAGACUGGAGGAGAAAAGGGGGGAUGAGGAAGAGAGCGCCAAAGAGCUGGAGGAGCUCCUCGCAAAGGAGAUAACGAAAAUAGGAGAGGAGGAAAAAGAGGACAGGGAGCUUGAGGAGCUGCUCAAGGAGCUGAAGAAGAAAAGGUACGAGUCGGUGAAGGAGAAAGAGCUCCAGAGAGGGUCAGAAGCAGAGGAGAAUAGGAAGAGGGAUGAGGAGGAGGAGCAGAAAAAGGGAGAGAAAGAGCAGCUAGAUAUUCUUGAGAAGGAAGAGAGGAAACGCAGCGAGGAGAGGAAGAACAACGAGGUGGAGCUGCUGGUGGAGAAAGGGAAGGUGGAACGGGAGCUCAAAGAGCUGCUGGAGGAACAGGACAGCAUGAAGAAUGUGGAGAAGGAGAAAGAGAGGGAGGAAAAACAGGAGGAACUGGAGGAGCUCCUCAAAAAGAUGAAACGCGUACAAGAGGAGGAGGAGCAAGAAGAGGAGGAGAGGAAGAUUGGGAAUGCCGGGGAUGAGGCGAAAGUGGACAAAGAGAGCCAGAAGGAGGGAGAGAUUCACAAGGAAUUGGAGAAGGUGAAAGAAAGAGAGAGUGAGAAGGUGGUUAAGGAGCCUCAGCAGAAGAGAGUGAUGGAGAAAGCGAGUGAUGAGUCGACCCGUCAGUUUGAAAAGGAGAGGAACAGGGACGAUGAUGAUGAUGACGACGAUGAUGAAGAAGCAGACGAGGAAGAUGAAGAUGAAAACAAUGAGGAUUGGGAAGAGGAGGAGGAGGAUGAGGACAAAAAGGAGAAUGUUGAGGAGGAUGAAGGAGAGGAGCUUCUGGAGAUUGAGGCAGAGCUGCGAAAAGUGGCUGCAGAGCUUCGGGAGCUUCACAGGAGUCAUUAAGUUCUAAAUUACACACACACACACACACACACACACACACACACACACACACACACACACACACACACACACACACACACACACACACACACACACACACAGAAAGACAAACAACACAAAACAGACAAAUAAUGACACAAUGCAGCUCUCUCUCUCUCAUGCUAUCACACACAGCAACACACACAACUAACAUACUUAGUAACAUGGUAUAGUCAUAAUGCUUUUGAUGGGAUGUACUUCUGUAAGUAGUUGCAUUUUAGUAUAAGCAUACAGGUACACUUCUCCCCAUCCCCUAACUCUCAUAUUGCAUUCAGAGAUUGCAAGUUCUUCAGAUGUCAGUCUUUCUGUGUGCUGCCAUUAUCAAAGAUUGUUUAGUAGGCAAGAUGUACAACCUUGCAAAGCUAUAGUUAGUCUACAUCUCAUGAUACUUGGGAAAGAGGUUUUCUUUACGAUAUGUCUCGUGUGUAUAUUUUGUGCAAUAAUUAAAAAUCAGUGUGUGGGAUUUGUUACGGUCAUUGUGGCGUUUAAUGUAAGCAAUGUAUCACUGUCAUUUGUAAUAUUGACAUUUCGAUUUCUAUGAUUGAUUUCCAUGUGUAUGUCAACAAAAUGUGAGGAUUGUGCUAUCUGGCUAAUGCACUGUUAAUAGCAGACUGUUAAUGAAGAACUGGGGUAACACUCCAGGAGAAUCUUAAUUGCAAAAUCUUUGCGUCCUCUCCUCGCCUCCUUUUCAAAACUCAUUGGAAGAGAAGACCAGAGGGGAGGGACAUCUGGCUUUCUCAUCCAAUGGGUUUUGAGAAGGAGAUGAGGAUGUGAGGAGUAUUUAACUGAGAUCUUCCCUCAGAAAGAACUGAGGGACCACAGAAACCUCUUUAGUAUUGAUGUACACUACCGUUCAAAAGUUUGGGGUCACUUAGAAAUGUCCUUGUUUUCCAUGAAAACAAAUUAGUUGCAAAAUUAAUAAGAAAUAUAAUGAUAUAAUAAUUGUAUCCUUCAAACUUUGCUUUCGUCAAAUAAUCCUCCAUUUGCAGCAAUUACAGUCUUGCAGACCUUUGGCAUUCUAGUUGUCAAUUUGUUGAGGUAAUCUGAAGAGAUUUCUCCCCAUUCUUCCUGAAGCACCUCCCACAAGUUGGAUAGGCUUGAUGAGCACUUCUUACGUACCAUACGGUCAAGCUGCUCCCACAUCAGCUCAAUAGGGUUGAGAUCCGGUGACUGUGCUGGCCACUCCAUUAUAGACAGAAUACCAGCUGACUGCUUCUUCCCUAAAUAGUUCUUGCAUAGUUUGGAGCUGUGCUUUGGGUCAUUGUCCUGUUGUAAGAAGAAAUUGGCUCCAAUUAAGCGCCGUCCACAGGGUAUGGCAUGGCGUUGCAAAAUGGAGUGAUAACCUUGCUUCUUCAAGAUCCCUUUUACCCUGUACAAAUCUCUAACUUUACCACCACCAAAACACUUCCAGACCAUCACAUUGCCUCCAUCAUGCUUGACAGAUCGCGUCAAGCACUCCUCCAGCAUCUUUUCAUUUUUGAUCCGAACACCUCAAACUUAGAUUUGUCUGUCCAUAACACUUUUUUCCAAUCUUCCUCUGUCCAGUGUCUGUGUUCUUUUGCCCAUCUUAAUCUUUUCUUUUUAUUGGCCAGUCUGAGAUAUGGCUUUUUCUUUGCAACUUUGCCUAGAAGGCCAGCAUACCGGAGUUGCGUCUUCACUGUUGAUGUUGAGACUGGUGUUUUGCGGGUACUAUUUAAUUAAGCUGCCAGUUGAGGACUUGUGAGGCGUCUGUUUCUCAAACUAGACACUGUAAUGUACUUGUCCUCUUGCUCAGUUGUGCACCGGGGCCUCCCACUCCUCUUUCUAUUCUGGUUAGAGACAUGGAAUAGCAUGGAAUAGCCUUCAAUUCUCAGAACAAGAAUAGACUGACGAGUUUCAGAAGAAAGGUCUUUGUUUCUGGCCAUUUUGAGCCUGUAAUCGAACCCACAAAUGCUGAUACUCCAGAUACUCAACUAGUCUAAAGAAGGCCAGUUUUAUUGCUUCUUUAAUCAGAACACCAGUUUUCAGCUGUGCUAACAUAAUUGCAAAAGGGUUUUCUAAUGAUCAAUUAGCCUUUUAAAAUUAUAAACUUGGAUUAGCUAACACAACAUGCCAUUGGAACACAGGAGUGAUGGUUGCUGAUAAUGGGCCUCUGUACGCCUAUGUAGAUAUUCCAUAAAAAAUCAGCCGUUUCCAGCUACAAUAGUCAUUUACAACAUUAACAAUGUCUACACUGUAUCAAUGUCUACACUGUAUUUCUGAUCAAUUUGAUGUUAUUUGAAUGGACAAAAAAGUAGCUUUUCUUUCAAAAACAAGGACAUUUCUAAGUAACCCCAAACUUUUGAACGGUAGUGUAUUUCCUAUGCUGUAACAGAACAAGGGUCAAAACAUAAUGAUAUAAAAUAAUGUUAUUUUAAUCUUUAAUAAGAUGAGCAUGACUGUUCCUUUAGUUCUUUUUGUUUGUAGAUUGGGUCACCCAGGUGGUCAAAAGUAAUAGUAAUAGAAAUAGAAUGAAUGGGAAUGUCCGUUCUAAUAAUGCUAUUUCUAUGGUCAGGGUGGUGCCCCAGCUCUUCUCCCAGCUUUGCACUCUUAUCUUAACUAGCCAAGGAAGUCUAAAGAGAGGCGCGACUACACUAAAGCCAUUUCUAGAAAUUUGAUCAUAAUAAACAAUGACUGUUCUAAAACGUUGUUUUUAAGUUGGUAAGAUAUUGAUAUUCAUCGUCAUCAUUUUUCAUAGUUUGUGAUCUCCACUGUUACGCAGCCAUGUUGGAAUAAGAAAUGUUAGGAAUCCCCCACAUGUUUAAUCAAUAUAAGUGCAUUAUGUGCUACAAAGUUGCAUGGUUGAUAACAUAGGUGGAGGAACAACAAUAACUGCAAUACAAGAAUGAGAAUAAGAAGUCAGCUUAUUAAAACCUAUAAAGCUAUAACAAUGUACAUAUUAAAAACAAAUGAUGAUGAUUUUCUGUAAAUGUACUUUAUGUCAUUAAAAUGCAUCAUAAAUAGACUUUUAAAUAUAAACACUCCUUUUCUAUCUAACAUUAAUUUACAAUUAUAAACUGGGUGGUUUGAGCCCUGAAUGCUGAUUGGCUGACAGCCGUGGUAUAUCAGACCAUAUACCACGGGUAUGACAAAACAUUUAUUUUUACUGCUCUAAUUUUGUUGGUAACCAGUUUAUAAUAGCAAUAAGGCACCUUGGGGGUUUGGGGUACAUGGCCAAUAUACCACUACUAAGGGCUGUAUCCAGGCACUCCGCAACUUAGCUGUGGCAACAGCCCUUAGCCGUGGCACAUUGGCCAUAUACCACACCCCCUCGGGCCUUAUUGCUUAACUAUAUAAUACUGGUAACUGUUGGCACUCAUAUAAAACGAAUAUAAAACACAUCAACACCAUGUAAGAAGUCAAACAGGCUACUCACUAGGUGUUGUGAGAUUUACUCAAGAAUGUAUACCAUUUCAACAUUUAGAAAUGUAUUUACCAAAUGAAUUUUACCAGCAAAGGGUUGUGGAUUGUAAGUGGGAUGUAAAGGACAAAUUAGUGGAGGUCAACAUUUGUAAUUGUACUGGCCCAAUCAGAGUCCUGCAUCUGUGCCUACUGUGUCUUAUAUGCUACAUGUCAAUCAAUAAAAGCACAGUGUAUAAUAUUUCUCAAUCAUUGUUACUUCUAUAAUAGUAGUGGUUGGUUGUCUUCAUUGACUGAUCACAGUCUCUGUAUAUUCCUUUCAAAAUCCUGGCACCUAUGUGACUGUAAGAAGGGGUGACUCAGACCCAGUUUAUGAGAUAUAUUUAAAGGCAACCAUUGUCAAUUUGGUGUCCUACUUCCCGGGUCUUUCUGGAUGUAUCAGAGAGGAUGAGCCAGGUCAGGGUCAAGGGUCAACAGUGAACCCGUGUCGGAGUUCAGAGUUCAGCCUGGGGGGCUGAGGGAGCAAGAGGACAUGUUGCCUGGGGGACUUCCAGUUCCCGGGGGUCCAAUACUGACUCAAUGUGACUGAGGAGGGAGGAGAAUAACUGAGGCACUCCCUCAUAGCCUGGAAGAGGGGGAUGGAAAGAUAUGGGUGAUGAGAGAUAGAGAGAGAACAUAACAUUGAGUAAGAGUGAGCAAGAGUGAAAGUGUAACAUGGAAGCAAAUACAGCAGUAUAAAGUUACUUUCAGGACUGUAAGUCGCUCUGGAUAAGAACGUCUGUUAAUGACCUAAAUGUAUAAUGUAAAUGAAAGAUGGAAAAGCCCAGUGACCUGGGAAGAUGCUGAUGUUGAUGAUAGUGAGGGUGUGUGUGUCGAUGCUGACGAUGACGUCCACCCCGAACAGAGCCAUGCCCAGCUCUGCCCUCAGAUCCCUCACUGGGGCCAACAUGGCCUCACCACUGGGGGGAGGCAACCUCAGCACCUUCUCAUCCAGCUGAGACACAACACCACAGGACACAGGACAGAUGAUCAGUUCAUCUGUUCAGGGUCCGUAUUCACAAAGUGUCUCAGAGUAGGAUUGCUGAUCUAGGAUCAAGUCCCCCUGUCUAUGUGAUCUUAUUCUUUAUGAUCUAAAAAACCAA
rnacentral:lncRNA from 8 species